rnacentral:rRNA from 1 species
GAUUCCCUACGGGGUGCAGCAGGCGCGCAAACUUUACAAUGCGAGCAAUCGUGAUAAGGAAACCCUGAGUGCCUGUCGAUGCAGGCUGUUCAUAUAUCUAAAUCAUAUGUGAAGAAAGGGCAGGGCAAGACCGGUGCCAGCCGCCGCGGUAAUACCGGCUGCUCGAGUGAUGGCCACUAUUACUGGGUUUAAAGCGUCCGUAGCUUGACUGUUAGGUCUCUUGGGAAAUCUUCACGCUCAACGUGAAGGCGUCUAAGAGAUACCGGCAGUCUUGGAACUGGGAGAGGUAAACCGUACUUCGGGGGUAGGAGUGAAAUCUUGUAAUCCUCGAGGGACGACCUAUGGCGAAGGCAGUUUACCAGAACAGCUUCGACAGUGAGGGACGAAAGCUGGGGGAGCAAACGGGAUUAGAUACCCCGGUAGUCCCAGCCGUAAACAAUGUGCGUUAGGUGUGUCGGUAACCACGUGUUACUGAUGCGCCGAAGAGAAAUCGUGAAACGCACCACCUGGGAAGUACGGUCGCAAGGCUGAAACUUAAAGGAAUUGGCGGGGGAGCACCACAACAGGUGGAGCCUGCGGUUUAAUUGGAUUCAACGCCGGACAUCUCACCGGAUAAGACAGCUGAAUGAUUGUCAAUCUGAAGGUUUUACAUGACUAGCUGAGAGGAAG